ACCUGCGGAAGGAUCAUUGUCGUGACCCUGACCAAAACAAACCGUGAACCUGUCACCUAUGCUGCCGGUUGAUGGGCUUGCACCUAUCUCUCGGUCUAGGCCACCGACCUUCUUCAGAAGGGCGGGGUGCCAAAAGAACCCACGGCGCCGUAUGGCGUCAAGGAGAACUAAUGUUGCCUUGCUUGGGGCCUCGGCCGGCUUGCCGGAUGCACCCCUUGCAGCGAUGCUAUGGAAAAUCACAUGACUCUCGGCAACGGAUAUCUCGGCUCUUGCAUCGAUGAAGAACGUAGCAAAAUGCGAUACCUGGUGUGAAUUGCAGAAUCCCGUGAACCAUCGAGUUUUUGAACGCAAGUUGCGCCCGAGGCCUUGUGGCCGAGGGCACGUCUGCCUGGGCGUCACGCCAAAAGACACUCCACCGCAAUCCCGGUCUGGACGUGGUGUUUGGCCCCUCAUUCCAUAGUGUAUGGUGGGCCAAAGAGGCGGCUGCCGGCGGUGCCGGUCACAGCAGAUGGUGGAUGGCACAAGUUAUUCUCGGUGUUGUGAUCCUGACGUCAUGUUAUGCCCCUUUUGGACCCAUGGUUUGGAGCGUACGUAGCUCGGACCGCGACCCCAGGUCAGUCGGGACUACCCGCUGAAUUUAAGCAUAUCAAUAGGCGG
rnacentral:rRNA from 1 species